rnacentral:rRNA from 1 species
GACGAACGCUGGCGGCGUGCCUAAUACAUGCAAGUAGAACGCUGAAGGAGGAGCUUGCUCUUCUGGAUGAGUUGCGAACGGGUGAGUAACGCGUAGGUAACCUGCCUGGUAGCGGGGGAUAACUAUUGGAAACGAUAGCUAAUACCGCAUAAUAGUAGAUGUUGCAUGAUAUUUACUUAAAAGGUGCAAUUGCACCACUACCAGAUGGACCUGCGUUGUAUUAGCUAGUUGGUGGGGUAACGGCUCACCAAGGCGACGAUACAUAGCCGACCUGAGAGGGUGAUCGGCCACACUGGGACUGGGACACGGCCCAGACUCCUACGGGAGGCAGCAGUAGGGAAUCGUCGGCAAGGGACGAAAGUCUGACCGAGCAACGCCGCGUGAGUGAAGAAGGUUUUCGGAUCGUAAAGCUCUGUUGUAAGAGAAGAACGAGUGUGAGAGUGGAAAGUUCACACUGUGACGGUAUCUUACCAGAAAGGGACGGCUAACUACGUG